UACGUAGGGGGCGAGCGUUGUCCGGAUUUAUUGGGCGUAAAGAGCUCGUAGGCGGUUUGUCGCGUCUGCUGUGAAAACCCGAGGCUCAACCUCGGGCCUGCAGUGGGUACGGGCAGACUAGAGUGCGGUAGGGGAGACUGGAAUUCCUGGUGUAGCGGUGAAAUGCGCAGAUAUCAGGAGGAACACCGGUGGCGAAGGCGGGUCUCUGGGCCGUAACUGACGCUGAGGAGCGAAAGCGUGGGGAGCGAACAGG
rnacentral:rRNA from 1 species